UGUUACUAUUCCUCUAUAACUCGAAUAUUUGUAAAAAUGUUACAUAUACAUAUGUUUUAAAAUUACUUAAGAAUCCAGUUAACCGUAUACCAAUAUAGGGACUCUUUUAUAAAAACGUAUUUAAUAUUACUUAAUUAAAAAAAUACCAGUUAAUUAAAUAAAUUACUUCUCUACUGCACAGAUUAUUAAAUUUGUCCGAAUAUGUACAUAUGUAUAUGUAAAACCCACUAACUAAAUAGAAAAAGGCUUAGUAAUCGAAAUUUUUCCUGCAAAUUAAAUUGUUUAUAAAUACAUAUUUACAAAAUUUUUUUUGUUUGUAUUAGUAAUUGAACAAGCAUUGAACAAUUUGAAACAAUUGAACAAGUCCAAAGAUAUCAAUUAAUUAAUUGCUCUUCCUUAACUUAAACACUAUUUUCUACUUAACUGUCCAUGUUUCUUCCAACUACCUUUAUCUACCUAAUAGGUAUGUGUGUACUUAGUACAAUAAAAAAACAACAAAUACUUAUAUAAGUACAUACAUAUUAUUAUCUGAUAUCUGAUAUGCUCUAUUUAGUGCUUCCUUUCAAUAUCGCUCCACCUUACUUUCAAACAUAAAAUGCUUUUAAUUAUCCGCUGCGCAUUACAAAAAGACUGAUCUGUUUUAAAUAUUAUUAUUGUUUCCUGUUCCUUUCAUCUAAUAUCUCUAGUGGCACACUUCUUCCCAGACGUAAAUUUAAUUGAGUUCCACUCGGGCAGUGUAUUGAUCUUUCUAGCUAAUAUGCAGCCAUUAUAAAUAGUUUCAUUACAAUGUACUACGCAGUUUUGAAAAUUUAAUCACGAGGAGAUUAUUAUAUUUAAUUCCCGACUUUUCAACAAAAUCGCGUUUGAGAGAAUUAUGGACGUUGGGCUACUAAAGUUCAAGGGAUGGUUAAGACAUCUAGCACUUGAAUGCAACACACUGACAAAGUUAUAACUAGUUUACUUCUGAAGUUCUCUACCAGUGAUGCCCUUUUUCAAUUCUCCAGGGAACAACAAUGGCUGGGUAAUAAUGUAGUUAGAACUGCUUCUUGUACAAUCUACAAUCUACAUACUUUAAUUUAAAGACGAGCAAUUUUCAUAGAUCUGAUGUCAAACUCCUCCUACAAAAGUGGAUAACCGAUCGCAAGUGUUGUUAAUAAUCUUCUAAUCUGCAUAUACUCGUAUCUACUGCAUUUCUAUAAAACUUAUUCCAAGGAACAUCCGCUGGUUGAAUUUUAGAUAAUCGAUUAUGUAUGUCCAGGAAGGAUCGCGUGAAGAUUUUGUACUAGGCUUUAAAAUUGUGGUUUAUACCGACAUACAUACAUGCAGUAUAAAAUGCUAGUGUAAUAUAUAAACCGUAUGUCUGUCAGGGCUAUUAUACACAUUAGACAAGUGUUCAUACAAAGUCUGCAGUUGCAUUUUGCCCACCACUUUAGUAAUGAAGUAUGUAGUGCUGCUCGCAUCAGGUUAAAGAAUCAGUUAUUUCCCAGUGAGAGCAUGAAUAGUGAUAUUUUAUUAAUGACUUGAACUUUUUAAUUUCAUUUGUUCGAUAUUUUCAAUUUUUUAAAGUAGCCCCAUGAAUAUCCUUAAUAUAAAAUUCUUGGAAAAUGCAAAGUUGCCAAAGUGAUGGAAAUAUUAUUAAUUUCUUCUUUUUCAAAAAGAGAUAGGCCCAAAAAUAAAAGUUAACAUUAUUUCUACUACUAAUUACUACAUUGUAUAUGUACAUAUAUACAUAUAAACUACGACUACUAUUUAUUGUACUAUUUUUAUGAAUGCAAUGCAAUGAUGAAGUGCAUUUUAUUGCAACUAUGUAAUUGUAAGCGAUCUUUUAAUGAAUAUGAAUAUGUCACAAAAAAAGACAAGAAAAAUAAAAAUAAAUUGCUGAUAUUUAUAAAUAUUAGUUAUAUAUGUAUAUAGACGUGCAUAUGUACAUACAUACAUACUAUAUAAUAAGCCUCUAGUACAGUCGGUAGCAAAUAAUCCAUUUUAGUAGGGCUAGGCCAAUGUAUUAUAGAGCCUCGCGAAGGGUGAUGAACGGCAUUGCUCAUAAUCUGGAAGGUCUGUUAAAUUCACUAGUUCCUCGCAGGUGCGUCGUUUUGAACAUUCGUUGCGUUGCCUAGAUAACAGCCGUAUUAUUUAUUACCAGGGGCCGAGAACGAGUUUUGGUUUUGGUUUCGUUCAGGCAAGAAUGUUUCCGAAAAAGAACCAAACGGGAAAAAAAGUAUUAAGAAGAAUUUUAACGGGAACAAAUUGAGAACAGAAGACUCGGUAAUGUUUCCGUAAACAACAAACAGAAGACUCGGGGGAACGUUCUCAAGAAGAACAGAAUGAAGACGAAACAUUCAGGAACGUUUUCAAUUAGAACAAAAUUAAAACUAAAGCAUCUAGAACGCUUUCAAGGGGGAUCAGAUAAGAACAAAGCAAGAACAAAAGUUUUGAGAACUUAACGUUAAAAAUGAGAGGGAAGUCUGCGUGUAGCCCAUGAACCAACUAAACAGAUCACCCAGCACGGCAACCGUGUAUUUGUAAUUGCAUUUGAGAAAAAAAUAAAUAAUCGAUGACGUCAUUUCUGAAUAGGUUAUUUCAUUCACACACAUGGUUUCGUUUCUUUUCAUUCACAUGGCGGCGAAAAAAUGACGUCAUUGCAAAAAAAAUACUUUUUUCUCGCACGCCGUCCUGGGUGAUCUUAUUCGUUCGUUUAUGCGUGUAGCCGUUGAAACCCAAUGCCGGCGAAUGGCGAAUUUUUCGCCGCGAAUGUUCGCUGUAAAAAUUAAAACACACUCGUGUAUAUGCGAACGCACACAACCAAAGCAAACGGCGAAGUUUGCUCGAUGACUUUUCGCGACGAUUGAUUGAUUUCUAUCGCCGCUGUCAGCGGCAACCGCGAAAAAAUACAAUGGUGACCAUACCUUAAUAGUUCUUGUAAUUUUUAUUAAAAAAUAAAAUAAUACACAUUAUAUUUUUCUUUCAGAGACUAAUUUCGUAAAGCGUAAGUUAAAUAAUAAGAUAGUUAUAUUUUACUACUGUUUCUAUAUUUUGCUGCUCCCUAUUCGUUGUAAAAGCUUAUUUCGUGAAAUAUGAUCACCUUAUCAGUUGACAGCUUUCUGAAUUGAAUACCGCUCUAUAUGUGUUUCCAUUAAGCGAAUUAGCUGGGCGAAAGUUGGACGUCGACAUCGCUUUGUUGGGCGAAAUUCGCCGUUCGCUGGCAUUGUGUUUCAGCAGUUAGAAUGAAAACUCGUUUACCUAGAGGAAAGCUGGAUCAUUUCAGCUUCAAAAUAGUUUAUUAUUCGGGUGAUAUUUUCAUCUAUGGAAAAAAAUUUUCAUUUUCUAUGCAAGAGAAGUUCGUCUCUUAAGUCUUUCGUUGACUUAAUUUGCAUAAUUAAACCGGCACACAACAAGAAAGAGAUCUAUGCAUUUAACCAGACCCACCUACCGACAUGUAUUUCGACCCGCUGAAUCAGAACCUGAGGUCCAUUUGACUCGUAAACCCUCAAAAUUUCGAGUAAAUUGUGAAUUGUGUGUGGGUUUGGUUAAAAGCGCACACCUCUUUUUGUUUUGUGUGCUGGGGUUUUUUUCGGAUCUUUUUUUAUUUAUUUUAGUAUUUCAAUAUUUAAAACUAACACAGCGCUAUGGAAAAAAUUCGGUUCUCGCUUCGAUCCUUCGCAGAUAGUUCAAAGAAGAUUUGUUCCCGUUUCGUUCUCUGUCAGAACGUCCCUGAGACUUCAAUUCCCCAAAUGGUUUUUCGAGAGAAAGUUUCUUAGACUUUUGUUUUCGUUCGCACUUUGCCAAAUCAAUCCUGAGUCUUUUAUUCCUAUUCUGAGCCCGAAUCGAACGUAACUCGUAUCGAAAUUUGAUUUUGAUAUCACCGCAUUCGAUAGCGAGUGCGCUUCGCCAAUUUAAAUUGCAUUGGUUUGAAAACAGUGGCCAUUUUAUUCCACUCGAUUCGUAACGAGUGAUCACUCGAUAAAGAAUGUUGCGUUCGGGCCCUGUAUUAUUCGCAUUUCCUGCACUUUGGGAACGUUCCCCGGGUUUUCCUCUUAUAUAACUACCGUUGAGAACGUUCUCGACAGUUUUGUUUUCAAUAUACCUUUGGUUCUCGCACCCUGAUUAUACAAUUUCUAGAGAGAAAGCGAAUGCAUGGUAAUCUAGUAGGUGUAAAUUUAUUACUGUUAAUGGCAUCCCAAUAUUAAAUUUAUGAGUUAAUUGCAUUGCUGGUAAUCUGGCGGGUAGGCAGUGGUGAUUGCCGAUGGCGAGUGAAUUCACUAGUGCGCGGUACUAGAGGAAAGUAUUUAAUAUACGAAUAAGUAGGUAUGCAUGUAUAUAAACAAGUAUGUAUGCAUGUACAUAUGUAUGUUUGUUUGAAUCACAUGUGUGUUUAUUAAACUAAUGCAAAAAGAAAAAAAUCACAAGAAAAUAAACCAAAACAUUUUCACUGUGCAAGUCUUAAAGUUAAACCUUAAUUUUUAAUAAACAACCAUAUACAUAUACACAUAUAUAUAUAUAUAUAUAUAUUGUAUACAUGCUAAAAAAUAUAUAUGAAUAAAAACUAAAAAUAAAAUAUCUUUACUAUUCGUAUUUUAAGCGGUUAAGUAAAGUUAUGACUUCAAUUUAAACUCAAGUGACAGCAGCUAUAAAUAUACAUACAUACAUGCAUAUGCCUAGAUAAUAUAGUUAAUGCAAAUGUUUAUAAAUAUACAUAAAAAAUAUGAAGAGAAAAAAAAACUAUAUCUUCUCGUUGGCAUUUGUCGUAUAGCCUUUUUCGCGCCACAUAUGUAUGUAAAUACAUAGCUCCUACUCGCAUACUCGUACAUCCACAAUGGCAUUCACGUCAAAAUCUUUAACUGAACGGUAUUAAAAAUUAAGCAAUUCAAUCUAAAUUCUAUCUCAAAUCUAAAACUAGUUUCGCAUUUUUAAAAACUAUCACAUUUCCUUAGCUAUAAAUAAAACAGCGUGAAUAUCACUCUUAUAUAAAACUUAUUCACCUCAAGCAGUUAAUAGAACCAACGAACGAUAUAGACCGAACAAAUGCAGCUCAAAAACAAAAACAAAAAAUAAUAACUACUAAAAAUAGUUACCAAAUUGUAGAACAGCUGUGGACGGCUAGGUAUUAGAUAAUUUCAAGAAUUUUUCUUGUUUAUAUUUUUUUUGUUGUCCUACCUCUUCUCCUUUAUGUUCUCUGUUAUGCACACUACAUAGAUCUAUUUACGCUGAUGGAUCAAUCAUUUCGAGGUGGUAGAAAUGAGAACGGGUCGGGCUUUGGCAGCGGCCCGGCGGGCUCGGUUCGAAUAUCUUGAAAAGGGCGAAUAAAUCAGCGGAUAAUAUUAUGGCAAAUUAUUGGGAGAUUUAUCCACAAUUCUCCGGAUUGAGCCCCAAGCGAUUAUUUCUGCUUACUAAAUUUAAAGAAAUGGCUCGGGGUAGGGACUUAUUUUUAAGCUUUCGUUAAUGAUUAGCUGAUAGUUAAGCGACGAUCAGUGCUUCUGAAUCAUGGUACGAUCUAAAGUGUCUCUCUAUCGAUCGACAGGGACUACUUUUAAAUCAAGUUGAGUGGGGCCCCAAGACAUAGCGGCAUAGCAGAAAAUUAGAUGGCUGUUUAAUAAUUAGGAUAGUCAGGAUAGCCUUUAGAUCACCUCUCUGGACAGCGAGGGCAAAAGAAGUUAACUGCGGCUCAACGAGCAAUUGAUGGAAACCCUGAUAUGUAAAGUGGCGCAAAGUCUCGAUUCCUUAUGUCGCCAGGGACCUCUGUUUCCGCAGCUCCUUAGAGGACGAUUAAGGUUAAACACCUCGUUUCGUAUUUCAUCAGCACUGCCUGGAAGCUAUCUGAAGUGGAUGUCUGCUGCUUGCGGAACUUAAUUUUGAGCACUCAGCGAUUUUCCUUGCUUACUUUAUUACCAGCAGAUAAUUAUAUACAUAGCUCUUGUAUAAAGCCAGAACACUCGAGUGAUUGCUAGAGCUGUUCACUUGGCAACCUGUUUUAUGAGAAAUAGGCCGAACUUAACUUAUUGUCGGUACGAUUUUUUAAACGCGGAUAGGGUAAAAGCUCUCCCUGCCCAUUACUGAUGUAUGUAUGUAUAUAUUAGAAAAAAUUGUCUUCUAACUUUUAUAAAAAAAGCUCCGCAGAACGUUCCGAGGAUAUACAUACAAAUACUUAAUAGUUAAUUGUUUUUAGAUUCAGGUAGUUUUUAGUUCUUAAAGCUCAGUUAGUCUAGACUUAACUUAAUAUUUUGUGCAACCUGUUCUAUGAGAAAUAGGUCGAACUUAACUUAUCGUAAGAAACUUAAGAGGUGUAGAUUUUAAAUUCUUAAGUACGACCUUACGGAUACUUAGAGCGGUGAGAGAAUUAAGCAUGCCUGAUUUACGCAUUAUAGACGGCGAACUGUUAAA